UACGGAGGAUCCGAGCGUUAUCCGGAUUUAUUGGGUUUAAAGGGUGCGUAGGCGGUUUGAUAAAUUAGAGGUGAAAUGUCGGGGCUCAACCCCGAAACUGCCUCUAAUACUGUUGGACUAGAGAAUAGUUGCGGUAGGCGGAAUGUAUGGUGUAGCGGUGAAAUGCUUAGAGAUCAUACAGAACACCGAUUGCGAAGGCAGCUUACCAAACUAUAUCUGACGUUGAGGCACGAAAGCGUGGGUAGCAAACAGG
rnacentral:rRNA from 1 species